GUUCAGGGGCGGGGGGAGGUCCUGAGGGAGGGACCCGGGCGGGCCGCCCAACGGUCCCCGGCCGGACGGAGCGCGGCGGCGGCGGCGGCGGCGUCACAGGCCGACGUGCGCGCGCGCGCGGCGUGCGUCGGGGCGGGAGGGGUGUGCCCGGAAGUGGGCAGGGCUCCCGCGGGUUGGGGAGGGGCGUGGCCCGAGGGAAGGCGUUCCUGAUUGGUAGGUUCUGCUGCGCGGGAAGUUCGAACGGCAGCCUGGGGCAGGGCGGGAGCAGAGCCAAGGAAGAGGGAGCGAGCUCCGGGCUCCGAAGGAGGGGCCGCAGCUGGAGUGGGUCCAGUCGCUGGGUGUGUUGCGUAUUUUAUAAGCUUCUGUACCAGAAUUGGACACUGAAAGGAGCAGGCUUCAGAUGAGUGCAUCUCCUUCUUCCUUCCUUUUCACCAAGACCACCUUGCCAAAACAGCAUCUGCUACCAAAGGGACCCUCCAAGGAGUUUCUGCCUCAUUAUCAGAGCUUCUGGUGCUACUAGAAGGUAAAAGAGCCUCUGCUUGC
rnacentral:lncRNA from 1 species